rnacentral:lncRNA from 1 species
AAAACCUUAACCUAUAGGAGCCUAUGGCAGCUCCGGGCUGAGGGGCUCUGGGCUGAGGGGCUCUGGCGGCUCUGGGCUGAGGGGUUCUGGCGGCUCUGGGCUGAGGGGCUCUGGCGGCUCUGGGCUGAGGGGCUCUGGCGGCUCUGGGCAGACUGGCGGCGCUGGCGGCUCUGGGCAGACUGGCGGCGCUGGCGGCUCUGGGCAGACUGGCGGCGCUGGCGGCUCUGGGCAGACUGGCGGCGCUGGCGGCUCUGGGCAGACUGGCGGCGCUGGCGGCUCUGGGCAGACUGGCGGCGCUGGGCAGACUGGCGGCGCUGGGCAGACUGGCGGCACUGGCGGCGCUGGGCAAACUGGCGGCACUGGCGGCGCUGGGCAGACUGGCGGCGCUGGGCAGACUGGCGGCACCGGGCAGACUGGCGGCACUGGCGGCGCCGGGCAGACUGGCGGCACUGGCGGCGCCGGGCAGACUGGCGGCGCCGGGCAGACUGGCGGCGCCGGGCAGACUGGCGGCACUGGCGGCGCCGGGCAGACUGGCGGCACUGGCGGCGCCGGGCAGACUGGCGGCACUGGCGGCGCCGGGCAGACUGGCGGCACUGGCGGCGCCGGGCAGACUGGCGGCACUGGCGGCGCCGGGCAGACGGGCGGCUCAGGCGGCGCCGGGCAGACGGGCGGCUCAGGCGGCGCCGGGCAGACGGGCGGCUCAGGCGGCGCCGGGCAGACGGGCGGCUCAGGCGGCGCCGGGCAGACGGGCGGCUCAGGCGGCGCCGGGCAGACGGGCUGCUCAGGCGGCGCCGGGCAGGCGGGCGGCUCAGGCGGCGCCGGGCAGACGGGUGGCUCAGGCGGCGCUGGGCAGACGGGUGGCUCAGGCGGCGCUGGGCAGACGGGUGGCAGAGGCGGCGCUGGGCAGACGGGUGGCUCAGGCGGCGCUGGGCAGACGGGUGGCAGAGGGGAGGCUCCGGCAACGCUGGACUGAGUAGCUCUGGCGCCUCUGGAGUGAGGGGCGGGAGCUCUGGUAGCACCGAACAGGCGGGAGACUCCGGCUGCGCUGGAGAGGAGGAAGGCUCUGGCAGGGCUGGAGAGGCGGGAGACUCCGACAGCGCUGGAGAGGAGGAAGGCUCCGGCAGUGCUGGACAGGAGCCUCUGUAA